CACGUAGGGCGCAAGCGUUGUCCGGAAUUAUUGGGCGUAAAGGGCUCGUAGGCGGCCAACUAAGUCAUACGUGAAAUCCCUCAGCUUAACUGGGGAACUGCGUGUGAUACUGGAUGGCUUGGAUGUGGGAGAGGGAUGCGGAAUUCCAGGUGUAGCGGUGAAAUGCGUAGAUAUCUGGAGGAACACCGGUGGCGAAGGCGGCAUCCUGGACCAUUAUUGACGCUGAGGAGCGAAAGCCAGGGGAGCAAACGGG
rnacentral:rRNA from 1 species